rnacentral:rRNA from 1 species
UACAGAGGUUGCAAGCGUUAAUCGGAAUUACUGGGCGUAAAGCGCGCGUAGGUGGCAAGUUAAGUCGGAUGUGAAAGCCCUGGGCUCAACCUAGGAAUUGCAUUCGAUAUUGGUUAGCUCGAGUUUGGUAGAGGAGAGUGGAAUUCCCGGUGUAGCGGUGAAAUGCGUAGAUAUCGGGAGGAACAUCAGUGGCGAAGGCGGGUUUCUGGACCAAAGCUGACACUGAGGCGCGACAGCGUGGGGAUCAAACAGG